GGAAUGAAAAAUAAUCCUUCUCUGUUCAUCUUUAUUCUCUACAAAUCAUGGCAUGUAGUCAAUCGACACCACUGCUGAUGAUAUCGAUCUUACACAUUGUUCAUCAUUCCAUUCUAGUACAUUUCUACUGGCUACGUCCGGCAGCAGCAGACGCUGGGCGAGGUGGGUGUCCAGUUCAAGCAGUUGCCGCCCUUGCCGAACAACGCCACGUUCCUGCACCAGCUGCUGCAGUCCGGCAGGAAGUUAUCGCACGGGCCCUGGCACUGGUACACCGCCGCCCCUGAUGAUCACCAUAACACGGCAAUUAAUCUCUCACGGUGAAGAAAGUUGAAAGUUGAAGAAAGAAAAGCUUGCAUGCAAAAGCAUUGAGCAUGUUUUAGGUGUACCAUGGGAUGAAAGAGUAGUGACGGUGAGCGCGACGACGAUGAGGAUCCUGCAGAGGACGGCCGAGGAAGAUGAUGACCCCAUGGAAGGUGACGACAGUUUGACCGUAAUACUGUGGUUCUGCUUGGACUGGCAAAUUGGUAAUGGAGAGGUAAUCGAUCUCCGGCGUUUUGGUAC
rnacentral:lncRNA from 1 species